rnacentral:tRNA from 1 species
GCCACCAUAGCUCAGUGGUUAGAGCACUGGUCUUGUAAACCAGGGUGAGUUCAAUCCUCACUGGUGAUG